rnacentral:lncRNA from 1 species
GCAGGGCGAUAGCAUGCGAAGUGGCCCAGCGGGGCGGUUGCUGGCGGGCGGGGGGCGCCCGAGGUGGGAGAGGGUGGGGUCGGGCUGCUUAGAAAGCCCGAGCGUCCGCAGGGCCCACGGCCGGACCGCCAGCCGUAGCCGCCGCCGCGCCUCCAGCGUCUGCAGAUUUUAUAACAUUCAAGAAGCACAUGAAAGAGGCCUCUCUCAUCAAGUAUUCUUGAUUAAGUCACGAAAAUGGAAUUGAAGCUUGUUCUUCCCCUUCAUAUGAAGCCCUCGUUUGGAGUAUCCACCCCUUUUGGCCUGGGCACUGACUGUCUUUAACUGGAAAAACAUCUCACUUUGCAAGUGACUAGAACUGAGUCACCCCACGUGAGCAAAAUCAGCCCUUAAAGAAAGGGCAACAUCAUUAAGUUCUUUCACCAGGAUAUUGUGCCUGCAGGACUUAAAAUGAUUUGAGACAGUUCACUCCUUUGUCCACCCACAAAAUCAUUUGUUAUUUUUAACCUUCAUUGUACAUUACUUUUCUUUAUAUGUUCUAAUGCAUGUUUAAAAGAAAAAUUCUGUAUGUAUAGCUGUGAAUAUUCAUUAAUGCAUUUCAUUUAUUCUGACAAAUUAGGAAGGUGGGCAUCUCUGAAUUUGUGGGCAGGCUGAAUUAAAGAUAACUUUCAAAUAAAUGUGGCCUUUAUUCUUUAAACUACA